rnacentral:lncRNA from 1 species
GGCGGUGCAUUUUGUUUCGAUGCUAUAGGUAGCUGCUUGCGCUUACUUCACUUCAGUGCAGUGCAGACGGUCUACUUUGUAUGCUGGAUCGGGAAUUCGACAACGGACAACAUGAUCUGACUGUGAAUUUGUUUCGGAAAUAUUCUUGUCAAAAUGUCGACUGCAAACUUAACUGAUCUAGAGUGUGAACUUACACAAUGUGGAGAGGAUACGUGUAGAAAUAGAUAUUGGUAUGUUUUCUUGAGUUCCAGUUUGAUAACUUUUUUUGGCGGCUUGUUGGGAAUUUUGGUUGUUCGACUAGCGGUGCUACUAGGAUGCAGGCGUCGGGUGUCGGACAGCCACCGGGCCAUCUCCACGAGCAAUGUGGCGAUGGAGCGCCCGGGGAUGAUGCAGAAUAAUGAAGACGUCCCAUGGAUGACAGCAAUUCGUGAAUAUUCGGCGAGUUUGAUAUCUGCCCAAACGAAGAUUGGAAAGUGCCUGCUGGUCGUUCAUUUUUCCCUUAGUAUGGGUUCCCUUAUCUGCUAUAUACUUGACACCACCAAGUAAGUACCAAGACAGUUGCUUUCACACCAUUGCAUUAUUUUCACCCUCGCCUACAUGUACAUUGUACAUGUUUUGUAGCUAGAAAACGUGAGCCACGGCUUUCAUGUGCAUUGGUUUGCACUCCUUGGCUUGUUCACACUUACACAAACAGUCCUGUUCACAUUGGUCAUCAUUUUUUUAGGAACUAGAUUUCGUGCAUGCUAUUUUCUUGAAGUUCUAGGUUUUUUUCGUGAAAGGGGUGAGAAGCCGGGAACUUCGGAUGUUCAGAUGUAUGCAACAACAAAUUGUUGAAAAACCUUUGAUUAGAACUGCACUAAGGUCACAAUUGAUGAAGUGUGAACGGUUCUAAUGUAGAAUGUGAAUAGCUCUGUUUAUUUAUAGAGUGUGAACAGUGAUGAUGCAAGGCAAACCAAUGAUACAUGUGAGCUUGAUAAUGUUGCUUGCAAGGACUGCAUUUGCAUGCUUAGUCUGCUUCAAGACUUUGAGUUCAUAUUUUUUAUGAAACCCAU